UACAGAGGGUGCAAGCGUUGUUCGGAAUUACUGGGCGUAAAGCGCGUGUAGGCGGCGUCGUUAGUCGAAUGUGAAAGCCCUCGGCUCAACCGAGGAAGUGCAUCCGAUACUGCGACGCUUGAGUGUUGGAGGGGGUGGCGGAAUUCCCGGUGUAGAGGUGAAAUUCGUAGAUAUCGGGAGGAACACCUGUGGCGAAGGCGGCCACCUGGACAACAACUGACGCUGAGACGCGAAAGCGUGGGUAGCAAACAGG
rnacentral:rRNA from 1 species